ACAGCUGUCACGUGGCUUGAAAUACACUCUUGAUCAGCUGCCUCCCCUGCCCUAACUGCUCCCCGCCAUGGCACCACUGGUAUUUCCUGGGCCCGCCACAUCUCAGAGUCUGCUUCCGGGGACCCGGGACUGAACCUUUACCUAUGGCAGAGUUUAAGAAGAUGGAUCAGGGCCAGACAUCUACAAAACCUGGAGCAAUGCUGUCCACACAAUUCUAAAACUCCUGGGGAACAAGGCCUGUCUGCCUCUAACUUAGUUUCCAAUCCCCCACAGCACCCAAAAGAAGCAUUUGGCACCGACAAAUCAGGAGGUGACUGAGACCACACAACUUCAGCGUGUUGCCUUUCACUCGGCCUGUUCGGUGUUUCACCCUUUGACUCUAAAAGCUGCUCCAAACUCUUCCUUGUUUUUUUCCCACUUCGUUUAUUGUUCUGCUUUUGGUUUUCAAUUUCUCUGAGUUUAAUGUAUAAAAUGUUAAAGAAAUAACGAUGAUCCAGAAAAGAAAAGUGGCAACCAAUGCAAGCAACGCAAAAGAAGUUUCAU
rnacentral:lncRNA from 1 species